GUUAGGAAUAUUGGACAAUGGGCGCAAGCCUGAUCCAGCCAUGCCGCGUGAACGAUGAAGGCCUUCGGGUUGUAAAGUUCUUUAGCCGAUGAUUAUAAUGACUGUAGUCGGAAAAUAAGCCCCGGCUAACUUCGUGCCAGCAGCCGCGGUAAUACGAAUGGGGCGAGCGUUAUUCGGAAUCACUGGGCGUAAAGCGUGCGUAGGCGGUCUCGUAAGUUAGGAGUGAAAGCCCAGGGCUCAACCUUGGAAUUGCUCUUAAUACUGCAAGGCUAGAAUCUCGGAGAGGAUAGCGGAAUUUCCAGUGUAGCAGUGAAAUGCGUAGAUAUUGGAAGGAACACCAGUGGCGUAAGCGGCUAUCUGGACGAGUAUUGACGCUGAGGCACGAAAGCGUGGGGAUCAAACAGGAUUAGAAACCCCAGUAGUCC
rnacentral:rRNA from 1 species